CCAAACUAACUGUAAACUCAACUACUUCUUCAUCAAAGUUAUCUUUUUUUCCUUCUUUAUUAGGCAAUUGUUUUUUUGUUGUAGCUUCGAGCAGAAAUACUUUGACCAUUUUCUUGAUCUGGACAAGUUCUCAGGAUUGAUGUUUUUGCUCCUACUGGAUUUCCUGAUCACCUACAUAAAGGAUUUGAGACUGUCACCUACAUGCUGCAGCAAAGAAUGAAGGAGGAGACAGCUGCUUGAUCAAACAUAGAUGGUCAAUUCUCUGAGUUCUUUUGAUUUUGGUGUUCCAGAUUAAGACUCCGGGUAGUCAAAUGGCGAAUUUUGAGGGGUUCUCUGCAAAGCUGCUAGAAUAGGUUGAGAUGCUAUCGCAAGUUUUAUGCUAAGCAAGCCUGUCCCUUUUCUCUCAGACUCUUUGAAUACGAGAUGAACUCUGCCAAGAAUUGUGGCGCGAAAUGCAUCAAGAACUACAUGACCAAAAACGGGAGAUGGAAGAAAUAAUGAAGUAGUUUAUGAUGUCAAGGCAACCCAACAAUCAAGUCACAAUCCUGAUUAUGAUGAUGAGUUGAUAUAUCUCAUGAACUCAAUUUGAAAACUCAGACACUUUAUGUUUAUUUUGGCUCCGUAUGUUGGAUUGUAUAUUUUGAUUAAUA